rnacentral:tRNA from 1 species
GAGGGUAGACCUCUGUGGUAGAGUGCGUGCUUAGCAUCUAUGAGGUCCUGGGUUCAAUCCCCAGUACCUCCA